UGGGGAAUAUUGGACAAUGGGCGCAAGCCUGAUCCAGCCAUGCCGCGUGGGUGAAGAAGGCCUUAGGGUUGUAAACCCCUUUCACCGGUGACGAUGAUGACGGUAGCCGGAGAAGAAGCCCCGGCUAACUCCGUGCCAGCAGCCGCGGUAAUACGGAGGGGGCAAGCGUUGUUCGGAUUUACUGGGCGUAAAGGGCGCGUAGGCGGGCGAUCAAGUCAGGGGUGAAAGGCCUGGGCUCAACCUGGGACGUGCCUUUGAAACUGAUUGUCUUGAGUGCGGGAGAGGGUGACGGAAUUCCCAGUGUAGAGGUGAAAUUCGUAGAUAUUGGGAAGAACACCGGUGGCGAAGGCGGUCACCUGGCCCGCAACUGACGCUGAGGCGCGAAAGCGUGGGGAGCAAACAGGAUUAGAUACCCCCGUAGUCC
rnacentral:rRNA from 1 species